rnacentral:rRNA from 1 species
AACGAACGCUGGCGGCAUGCCUAACACAUGCAAGUCGAACGAGACCUUCGGGUCUAGUGGCGCACGGGUGCGUAACGCGUGGGAACCUGCCCUUAGGUGCGGAAUAACUCCCCGAAAGGGGUGCUAAUACCGGAAAAUGUCUCCGGACCAAAGAUUUAUCGCCUUUGGAUGGGCCCGCGUUGGAUUAGCUAGUUGGUAGGGUAAAAGCCUACCAAGGCGACGAUCCAUAGCUGGUCUGAGAGGAUGAUCAGCCACACUGGGACUGAGACACGGCCCAGACUCCUGCGGGAGGCAGCAGUGGGGAAUAUUGGACGAUGGGCGAAAGCCUGAUCCAGCCAUGCCGCGUGAGUGAUGAAGGCCUUAGGGUUGUAAAGCUCUUUUACCCGGGAUGAUAAUGACAGUACCGGGAGAAUAAGCACCGGCUAACUCCGUG